UUCACUAUCUUCGCAGCCCUGCGUGAAAGCCAGUUCAGCUCCUGAACCCCACAAUUGUUUUACAGGCUUUUGGUGCCUGACCGGUUUCAGAAGACAGAAUCUGGACGACUACGACAUUUUCUUUCGGCACUCAUAUGACAGAGGCAGCAGCAUUGUGUCUGGUUUAAGCAGGCAAGCUCUUCAAACCCAAGCCAUGGGCAAGUAUGAAUCCUGAACACAGAGCGAUAGCCACAAGACAGUGGACCAGGAGUGCUGUGGCCUACCACACUAGGUCUACAGCCAUGAAGGAGAGGAUGUCUCUGAGGAGGAUGAGCACACCGAACUUCCAGAAUCGGAGGAGGAGGAGGCCUUCUCUCAGGACCUGGGGAACAUUGUGGGAUACAGAAUUUCUCAUGGAUGGAAGGAAGGUGAUGAGCCCGUCACACAGUGGAAGGCUAUCAUUCUUGAUCAACUGCCAACAAAUCCCUCUCUUUAUCUGGUCAAGUAUGAUGGAAUUGACUGUGUAUGCAGACUGGAAAUUCACACUGAUGAGAUGAUUUUAAAGCUUAAAGUCUUGCCUCACAAAGUAGUGUUUCCUCAAAGAAAGACGCCCAUCUUGCAAGUGCCAUGGUUGGCCAAGAUGUGGAGCAAAAAUUUGAGGGCAAACAUGGCUCUAAGGACAACUGGAGCGGGGUGGUCCUAGCCAAGGUGCUGUUCAUGAAGGACUGGUUUUUACAUCACCUACGAGAAAGAUCCAGUCCUAUACAUCUACCAGCUCCUGGAUGAUUACACAGAAGGUAACCUCCGUAUCAUUCCAGAGACUCCUCCAGCAGAGGUGAAGUCAGACGUUGACAGCGACAUCUUAACAGGUCAAUGUUUGCAGUACACCAGAAGUGACGGGUCCAAAAAGAUCGGCAAGGUCAUUUACCAAGUUCUAGCCAACCUUCCUUGUACUUCAUCAAGUUUGAUGGCGACAUCCGCAUCUACAUCUAUAAUCUGAUGGAAAAGAUCCAAUAAGGUGAAAUUCACAAAAUGUGGGGGACAUAGAUGGAUAAUUUAUAGGAUUGGGGGGAAAUGUUUGUUUUUCUGUGUUUCAGAUACCCAAGGGCCUUUGACAACCCCAGUAUCUUUUCCAGUGGAAUUUGUUUUUUGUCUAAAAAUUAAAAUGUGC